ACAAAACAACUCAGACAAUUUCAGUUGCCUUACUGAUCAACAUCAACAACAAGCCAGAAAAAAAACAAAAUAAACGGUGGAAAACAUGAAUUUCAUGCCAAUCAUUCUCUUUGUAUUGUAUGCAAUAUAUUGCAAUAUGUGUAAAAGUAUAUCUAAGAUUUUAUACUGUGGAAUGAAGGAACCUUCCGCUCGGAACGGUACUAAUGCAGAGAUUUUAGAAAUGAUCGAUUUGAACAGAGAUCCGAUUCUCUUCUAUGAACAGCGUAUAUAAAGGAAGGAAAUAGAUAAUGGGAAUGACUAUGCAAGAGGUAGAUGAUAUACUGAACAAUAUAACAACACCCAGGAACUUGAACGGUGAUUUUGUCACGAUGAUGAAGAACGAAACCUUGGCAAACUUGCAACUUAAUAAUAAUUACAUUGUUACAUUGUGAACAAGGACAAAAACAACUCUGGAAACAUUUUUGGAAAAGGAGAAAGUCCCUGAUAUACAGCCAUUUUGACAUCCGUUUCCUGCCUAACAAAACUUUGCAUCCCAUGCGCUAACUCCAUGUUUAAGUCCCAGUUUAGUUUCGAGUGCAACCAUUUAUUAUCAUAUAACGUUCUUAAAUUUACAAUUUUUAACUCAAAAUCAACAUUGUUCUAUAUUAACACAACAUAUGUACAAUUACACUAGAACCCAGUUUAUAACUUGCUUAACAGCCCAAAAAUAUAAAAUAAAUGUUACUCCGAUCUG
ensembl:ncRNA asRNA:CR43152 antisense RNA:CR43152